rnacentral:rRNA from 1 species
CAGUCGCCGCGGUAAAACGAAGGGUGCAAGCGUUAAUCGGAAUUACUGGGCGUAAAGCGUGCGUAGGCGGUGAGUUAAGUCUGCUGUGAAAUCCCCGGGCUCAACCUGGGAAUGGCAGUGGAUACUGGCUCGCUAGAGUGUGUCAGAGGAUGGUGGAAUUCCCGGUGUAGCGGUGAAAUGCGUAGAGAUCGGGAGGAACAUCAGUGGCGAAGGCGGCCAUCUGGGACAACACUGACGCUGAGGCACGAAAGCGUGGGGAGCAAACAGGAUUAGAUACCCCAGUAGUCCCUGUCUCUUAUAA